UCAGGCCUAACACAUGCAAGUCGUACGAGAGUUUUUAACUCUAGUGGCGGACGGGUGAGUAACACGUGAGAAUUUGCCUUUAGGAGGGGGACAACAAUUGGAAACGAAUGCUAAUACCCCAUAUGCUUUCGAGUGAAAUGGAUUUUAUCCGCCUAGAGAGAAGCUCGCGGCUGAUUAGCUUGUUGGUAAGGUAAGAGCUUACCAAGGCGACGAUCAGUAUCUGGUUUGAGAGGACGAUCAGACACACUGGAACUGAGACACGGUCCAGACUCCUACGGGAGGCAGCAGUGGGGAAUUUUCCGCAAAGGGCGAAAGCCUGACGGAGCAAUACCGCGUGAGGGAAAAAGGCCUAUGGGUUGUAAACCUCUUUUUCAGGGAGGAAAAAAUGA
rnacentral:rRNA from 1 species